rnacentral:tRNA from 3 species
GCGGGUGUAGCUCAAUGGUAGAGCUCCAGCUUCCCAAGCUGAUCACGUGGGUUCGAUUCCCAUCACCCGCUCCA